GCUGUGUUUGCAUGUGGAGUUUCUCUAGCAUGGUUAAAGGGAAAAGUGUUUUGCAAUUAUAACAGGUGUGCCUCUUAGUCCCUUCUUUCUGAAGCAUUUUCUAAUUAGGUAAGAAUUCAAACAGAAAUUGUCAAAUUUCGGAGGCUGUAACAGAUGGGAAAACCAAAUCACAGAACCUUGGAAGCCAGAGGUGUCCUUGAUGCCUCACAUAUUUUCAGCUGGAUUAGCUCUUUCGUCUCAUUUUUGGCCUGUGUUUUUCACACUAUUGGAGAGGCUCUCGUCUGGAGGAAAUUUGGAGCCAUGGGAAACCCUCUUCGCAGUCAGAGCCUUGCCUGACCCAGACCUCCUUGUUUGCCCUCCUCCUAUCUUAUUAAUGCAGCUGUGAGUACAUUUCCAGCACUCUUCACCUGCCACGGUGACGAGGGAUCAGGUGCCUGGUAGGGUAAUCAAUCUGGAGGGCUUUUAGCAGCGCAUCCUGCCACUGUUUGACAGCAUGUCUCCGUCAAGGAGACUGUCUUCCUUAGAUCGAUAAAUCAAUCAGUUCUUUUUACAUCUUAUGAAGCACUCCUCACGCCCCGUGUCACUCACGCUGCACCACACACAAAUAGAGAAUCAGGGUUGAGGUUGGCCCAAGCUUUCCCCAUUCACAUUCUAUCCCAUCAUCACGUAUCCUUCCCCAAAAUCAAUUCCUGACACAGUGGUAAUGGAUCAAAGUCCAGUUCUUUAUUCCUUUGAAGUGACGAGUAAAUCUGUCUGAAGUGUUGGAUGUUGUAGUGUGUUUAAAACUAAAUAAAUCACAUCUGUAAUUCAAAGGAGACUAAUUGCAAGGUUUAUGAUUAGAACUCUUCGAAGGAGACAGCAGUGGUUUCACUGAGACUAUUGAAAGGAACCCUGAACUCUCAUAGGCUGUCAAAGCUGGGAAAGGGGCACAGCUUUGACAGCCUAUGCCCCUUAGAAUCUAAACCCGGUGUUUGUUCCUGUGCACUGAGAAGUUCCCAGCCACCUUGUUGGUAUGGGGCCAAUAAGGGGUGAUAGUAGAUCCUCUCUAACCCAGAGAAAGACACGUUGUGUCACAUGUUGGGUUUGGGUUUAAGAGAUCACUUAAACAAUGGGUUCUACUCUUUGGGGGAAAAAAUGAAAACCUGUAUCUAUAAUGAUAAAAAUGAGUAUCUGUACCAUGUUGAGUAUAUUCACCUUUCAUGUGUAGAAUCUGAAACUCAUUUAUGUUGUAUAACUUAGUCAAGGUCGCACAACUGAUAAAUGGAAGAGCUGGAAAAGAACACCCUCCCCGCAACCUGGACAUCUAUCCAUACUAAGUCCCUUUUAUUUUUAAAAUUAAAAUUUAAAAAAUAAUGGUGGGAGCAUUCCUGUGGCAUGUGGAAGUUCCCAGGUCAGGGAUUGAAUCUUCACCAGCAGUGACCCAGCCAUAGCAGAGAAAACAUCAGAUCCUUAACCCACUGAACCACCAGAGAAUUGCUCUAAAUCCCUUUUAGAAAGUGACUUUGGCUGUUCAGAGUUUUCCUGAGUAGAAAUGUAUUCCCUUUCAGAGCACCUCAAGGGACAUUAGACUUAGCGAUACUCAACAGUUUGAGGUAUAGGGUCAUGUAUGUUGGAGGAGGAGUUUGGUUCAUGUUUCUUCUUACUCAUGUCCAAUCACUCUAUUUCUUCAUUGCUGAAAGGCAGCUUGACCUAAUGGUAAAGGCAUGAGUUUUGCAGCUAAAAAAUAUGGCAAUGAAGCCUGCUUCACCCUCUGCCCCCUAUAUAGAGCAUGACAAAGGAGGAAAGCUUAAUGGUUAAUAGAAUCAGCUCUCCUGUCAGAAUGUUGAAGCACAAAUCUGGUCCUGCUCUUAUUACCAUGUAACCUUGGGCAAGUGACUUGAGCUUUGUGUCUCUGUUUCUCCAUCUGCCAGGCAGUGAGGACUAAGAGAGCUAAUGUGCAUAAUGUCAGCAGAGAGCCAUCCCUGUGUCAGGCUCUGAAUAAGUGUUAGUUCCCAUCCCCGCAUCCCUGUCACUUCCCAACAUCUCCAAUGUGGUGUCACGAUACCAGUUUCAAGCUGAAGCUUUCACAUCUGCCUUAAUUUUCUUAAGCCCCAAAUCUCCAGUUUUCAAAUUAGAAAACGAAGAAAAAACACAGACCCCCAUCUUCGUGUCAAUAAUCUGCAAUUCAUGUUUUUUCAUAAAGAAACAUACAGCUUUCACAGAAAGCAGCAAAAAUAGCCAGUGAAGGGGAGAGCUACAGGUAGGCUGUAAUUAGGCUACUGAUUCAUAAUUCUGUCUUGCUUGUAUAUCUUUUUCAAUAAUGUGAGCCUCUCGAAGAGCUGAGGGCAACUCAGUAUUACAGGAACCCAAAACUCAUCACUCCCUAUUCCCUUUAAAAAAUUGAUGGGAGUUCCCAUUGUGGCACAGUGGUAAUGAACCUGACUAGUAGCCAUGAGGAUUUGGGUUUGAUUCCUAGCCUUGCUCAGUGUGUUAAGGAUACAGCAUUGCCAUGAGCUGUGGUGUAGGUCACAGGCAUGUCUAGGAUCCUGUGUUGCUGUAGCUGUGAUGUAGGCUGGCAGCUGUAGCUCUGAUUUGGUCCCUUGCCUGGAAUUUCCAUAUGCAGAGAGUGGGGCCCUAAAAAACAGAAAAAAAAAUAAAAAUAAAUAAAUUUAAAAGUGAUGGAUAUAUUACAUGAAAAGUUUGCAUUUUUUUUUGUAUGAAGUGUUAUUUAAAACUAAUUUGCUUUGGACUGAUUCCUUAGACCUUUUGUAAUAGGUGGUGGUAUAUCAUGAAGAUUACAGAAAAGGGCUUGAAGAGAGAGGCCAUAAAAGUAAACCUAAGAAUCUGUCCUAGAUUAAGGGAUAAUGUGUGGAUUGCCCAUUUAAAGGGAAGAAGGAAAAGAUCCCUUUUAUCUACAGGCAAAAGCAGUAAUAUCUGAAUGGAAAUCCAAGAGCAAGGCCAGGGAUGACCUGGCUGAUAAUUUGGGGCAGAUAAGGACAAAGUUCCUUUUGGGAAGAACCAAAUGGAACUUUCCUACCUAGGGUACUACCCACUUUAAGACCAGAAUGGAUUUGAGAGUUCAUCCGAAUCCUCCCCUCUCUCCCUGCCCACUCUGCCCAGAGAGGAGACACCCCCCAUUACUUAAGUAUUAGAGGCAGAGCUGACACAAACCCUGAUUCCCCUGAUUCUUGCCAAGUACUCUUUGCAGUACACUGUAUUAUCUCUCCAAGCAGACAUUUGUCCACCUAGCCAUUAGGGUUAUCCAAACCCAUAUUCUGGUGACACUGCUAAAAUGAGCAUCUAAACUGAUAAUGAUAGUUCAUUUCAUAUGGGCCAUAAAGUAGCAAUAACUGUCUUUAGCUUCUUGGUUGAAACCAGACCUGUAAUCUCAAGAUAAAUAGCUUUGCGUGCUUUUACCAAUCUCCCGAGCAAAUCUGUCUUGCUUGUUCCUUCACUCAGGAGCAGCAUAUGCUUAAUUUUCAGACUAAUGAAAUGAUUUCUAGGAGCUAAAUACACAUGAUGUACUUAGCGGAUUGUUAUUAAGUGGAUCCUUGCAGUCCUGAUGUUGUUAUGUAUCUGCCUGCUUAUUUUCCCAUUUACUCAUUGCACAUCCUCUCUGAAACGCACAUGGUCAAUGUGUUUGUCUCAGGUCCAUUGUACUCCCCCUUGAGUACCAUAACUGCCAAUCAAAUUAUUUUAUCAAUUCUCCAAACUCUUUUUUAAAAGUAAAUGUUAUACAGGUUUCUACACCCAAUGCUUUUACAGUUACAAUCAGGGAAACCACAGCAUUACUCAGAUUCCUUAGCAAAUCUAAUAUUAGAUCUAGCAUGAGAUACGUGUGCAGGGAACAGUUUUUCUCCAAUUAUAUUCCAUGUAGGCUAAAGUUAUUUAGUUGUAGUUUUCUUCAGUCACUUUAAUCUUCAGCCUGAUUAUUCUCUAGAUCAUUAUUUGGAUAAUUUUGUAUUUUUCCUAGUCCUGAAAAUUUCCAUGUUUCUUCAAAUACUUUAUUUUUCUAUAUCUUACUAAAUGUAUCUUUGACACUUGACAUGAGUUUUGUGGUAAUACCACAUAUAACAUGGUUUUCUUGUGUGUUACAAAAGUUGAAUUACAACUACCCAGUGCUUACAGAGGGCAGGGUAUUGUUUUCACUUGCUUUGAUUUAAACCCAACAUAUGCAUAGAAUGAGUUAUUUUUAAAGCUGAUCAACAUGGGAUACUUAAGACAAGUAGAACUUCUGUAGUUUUAACUCUGAGUUCUGUGAACUGUGUGUAUGUUCAAGGAAAAAAAAAAUCAAAACAUGGUUCUUGCCUUCAAAGAAUUUACAUUUGAGUGGAAAAGACAAGUAUGACCAAAAAUGAGUUAUUUUAAAAAUAUUUCAAGGUAAUACAUCACAGAUACAUGCUUACACUGUGGGGCCUAUAGACCCUUUUGAAGACUAUUAGAAGCAUUAGAAUUGAAAUGGGAAAAUUUGGUAGUGGGCCUUGAGCUGAGAGUUGUUAGAUGAAAAUGGUUGGCACACAGCAUAGACUACAUUUUGGUUCCCAGAUAUUCACUGUUGGUCCCAGGAGGAAGAUUGUCCUUUGCUGAGCUAUUAGUAUAGGGCUUGGACAUGAGAGUUGCUCUGGCCAGUGAGUGGCUGUCAGUUACAAGAGAAAACUUUAAGGAUCAGUGCAUGCAUUGAUAUGACGUCUUUUCUUUGAGCUACACAACUGGCAGUGUUUCAGAUAAAAGUUUCUCAGUGUAAUAGAACCACAGCCAACUCAUAAUGGGCUCAUAGCAAGAGAAAAUAUCAGCCUUAGUUGUAAGACAUCGAAGUGGUGCAAUCAUUGGUUACUCCAAUACAAACUAGUCUUAUCUUGAAUGAUGCCAGCAGGUUGAUGUGGGCUUUCUAGAUAGAGGGAGAAAUGACAAUUAAGCAAUUAGCAUUUUAUUCUUUGAGUAGA
rnacentral:lncRNA from 1 species